GCAUGCAGUCUGCCCGCUGCCUCCCCCUCAGCCGCCCUACAACUGAGGGGGAGGCAGUGGGCAGAUGCAUGC